rnacentral:rRNA from 1 species
GUCUACGGCCAUGCCACCCUGAACAAGCCUGAUCCCAUCUGAUCUCGGAAGCUAAGCAGGAACAGGCCUGGUUAGUACUUGGAUGGGAGACCACCUAGGAAGACCAGGUGCUGUAGGCA